rnacentral:rRNA from 1 species
UACAGAGGUCCCAAGCGUUGUUCGGAAUCACUGGGCGUAAAGGGUGCGUAGGUGGUCAUCCAAGUUUGGUGUGAAAUCUCCGGGCUUAACUCGGAAAGUGCAUUAAAUACUGGAUGGCUGGAGGGUUGGAGGGGAGACUGGAAUUCUCGGUGUAGCAGUGAAAUGCGUAGAUAUCGAGAGGAACACCAGUGGCGAAGGCGAGUCUCUGGACAACACCUGACACUGAGGCACGAAAGCUAGGGGAGCAAAC